UACGUAGGGUGCAAGCGUUGUCCGGAAUUAUUGGGCGUAAAGAGCUCGUAGGCGGUUUGUCGCGUCUGCUGUGAAAACUCAGGGCUUAACCCUGAGCUUGCAGUGGGUACGGGCAGACUAGAGUGCGGUAGGGGAGACUGGAAUUCCUGGUGUAGCGGUGAAAUGCGCAGAUAUCAGGAGGAACACCGGUGGCGAAGGCGGGUCUCUGGGCCGUAACUGACGCUGGAGGAGCGGAAAAGCAUGGGGGAGCGAACAGG
rnacentral:rRNA from 1 species